CCUACGAGAGGCAGCAGUGAGGAAUAUUGGCCAAUGGGCGCGAGCCUGAACCAGCCAAGUAGCGUGAAGGAUGACUGCCCUACGGGUUGUAAACUUCUUUUAUAAAGGAAUAAAGUGAGGCACGUGUGCCUUUUUGUAUGUACUUUAUGAAUAAGGAUCGGCUAACUCCGUGCCAGCAGCCGAGGUAAUACGGAGGAUCCGAGCGUUAUCCGGAUUUAUUGGGUUUAAAGGGAGCGUAGAUGGGUUGUUAAGUCAGUUGUGAAAGUUUGCGGCUCAACCGUAAAAUUGCAAUUGAUACUGGCAGUCUUGAGUACAGUUGAGGUAGGCGGAAUUCGUGGUGGAGCGGUGAAAUGCUUAGAUAUCACGAAGAACUCCGAUUGCGAAGGCAGCUUACUAAACUGCCACUGACAUUGAUGCUCGAAAGUGUGGGUAUCAAACAGGAUUAGAUACCCGAGUAGUA
rnacentral:rRNA from 1 species